GAGGUGGGAGGAUCACUUGAGCCCAGGAGUUUGAAGCUGCAGUGAGCUAUGAUUGUACCACUGCACUCCAGCCUGAGUGACAGAGCAAGACCCUGUCUC
rnacentral:miRNA from 1 species